rnacentral:misc_RNA from 1 species
GAUGAAGAACGCAGCGAAAUGCGAUACGUAAUGUGAAUUGCAAAUUCAGUGAAUCAUCGAGUCUUUGAACGCACAUUGCGCCCCCUGGUAUUCCGGGGGGCAUGCCUGUCCGAGCGUCAUUGCUGCCCUCAAGCACGGCUUGUGUGUUGGGCCCCGUCCUCCGAUCCCGGGGGACGGGCCCGAAAGGCAGCGGCGGCACCGCGUCCGGUCCUCGAGCGUAUGGGGCUUUGUCACCCGCUCUGUAGGCCCGGCCGGCGCUUGCCGAUCAACCCAAAUUUUUAUCCAGGUUGACCUCGGAUCAGGUAGGGAUACCCGCUGAACUUAAGCAUAUCAAUAAGCGGAGGU